AGGACGAACGCUGGCGGCGUGCUUAACACAUGCAAGUCGAGCGGUAAGGCCCUUUCGGGGGUACACGAGCGGCGAACGGGUGAGUAACACGUGAGCAAUCUGCCCUUCACUUCGGGAUAAGCCUCGGAAACGGGGUCUAAUACCGGAUAUGACUGCGCCAUGCAGUGUGGUGUGGUGGAAAGUUCUGGCGGUGA
rnacentral:rRNA from 1 species